rnacentral:rRNA from 1 species
UACGGAGGAUGCAAGCGUUAUCCGGAUUUAUUGGGUUUAAAGGGUGCGUAGGCGGGCUGCUAAGCGUGAGGUGAAAUGCCACGGCUCAACCGUGGAACUGCCUCGCGAACUGGUAGUCUUGAAUGCUCCUGCCGUGGGAGGAAUGUGUGGUGUAGCGGUGAAAUGCAUAGAGAUCACACAGAACACCGAUUGCGAAGGCAUCUCACGAAGGGGUGGUUGACGCUGAGGCACGAAAGCGUGGGGAUCAAAC